UAAUUUUGCAGCCGUUACAUAAUAAUCAUUAAACAAUAUUGGAAUG
rfam:Chryseobacterium sp. IHB B 17019, complete genome.